rnacentral:rRNA from 1 species
GACAGAGGUCUCAAGCGUUGUUCGGAUUCAUUGGGCGUAAAGGGUGCGUAGGUGGCGGGGUAAGUCAGGUGUGAAAUCUCGGAGCUCAACUCCGAAACUGCACUUGAUACUGCCUUGCUUGAGUACUGGAGAGGAGAUUGGAAUUUACGGUGUAGCAGUGAAAUGCGUAGAUAUCGUAAGGAAGACCAGUGGCGAAGGCGAAUCUCUGGACAGUUACUGACACUGAGGCACGAAGGCCAGGGGAGCAAACGGG